UCCAGCUGCAGUCUCUCCUGCAGUGAGAACAGAAUACGUCACUUAUGGGCAAAUCAUCAUCAAAGACAAGAAAAAAAAGUCAGAGAGUGAUUCAGCUGCAGUGUACUCAGGAGUGAGAACAGAAGACAUCAAUUACGGACAAAUAGCCUUCAGACCAAAGAGGAAAAAAGACUGUAAACCAGAGCCAGAUGUCGUCUACUCUUCACUGAAGUAGUCCACCAGUCCAACCAUUGAUGUCCAGCUGCUGGUCUCUAACUGGUCCCCCCAGCACCUCCACAGACACAUCCAUAUGUUGAAAAGAUUUCUUUUUGAUGUUUUGUGUCUUUUAUUUCACUUAUUACAUCCUCCUCCACUUACAAAUUCAGGGUUGCAGUGGGACUGGAGCCUAUCCCAGCUGCCGUAGGACAAGACUCAGGGUACACCUUCAGCAGGUCCCCAGUCUUGCUAACACAGAGAGAAUUCACACCUACGGCAAUUUAGAAUCAUCAACUAACUUAACCCCACU